UGGGGUGGGGCUCCGUGGUGGAGCGCUUGCCUCGCAUGUGGGAGGCCCUGGGUUCGAUUCUCAGCAUCACAU
rnacentral:tRNA from 1 species